GUGAAUCAUCGAAUCUUUGAACGCAAAUUGCACUUUCUGGUAUUCCGGAAAGUAUGCCUGUUUGAGGGUCAGUUAAAUAAAAAUCGGUGUUGUUGCUGCCUUUCGUGGUGACGCGUCGGAAUUGGGUCGUCUUACCUUCGGUUAAGUGACUUAAAAUUUUUCCUUGAUUUCCAAAGGAUUUUAAAUUGCUUACGACGGUUU
rnacentral:misc_RNA from 1 species